GAUGAACGCUGGCGGCGUGCCUAAUACAUGCAAGUCGAGCGAACGGACGAGAAGCUUGCUUCUUUGAUGUUAGCGGCGGACGGGUGAGUAACACGUGGAUACCCUACCUAUAAGACUGGGAUAACUUCGGGAAACCGGAGCUAAUACCGGAUAAUAUUUUGAACCGCAGGGUUCAAAAGUGAAAGACGGUCUUGCUGUCACUAAUAGCUGGAUCUGCGCUGCAUUAGCUAGUUGGUAAGGUAACGGCUUACCAAGGCGACCAGGCAUAGCCGACCUGUGAGGGUGAUCGGCCACACGGGAACUGAGACACGGUCCAGACUCCUACGGGAGGCAGCAGUAGGGAAUCUUCCGCAACGGGCGGAAGCCUGGCGGAGCAGCGCCGCGUGAGUUGUGGAGGUCUUCGGAUCGUAAAACUCUGUUAUUAGGGAAGAACAUAUGUGUAAGGAACUGUGCACAUCUUGACGGUACCUAAUCAGAAAGCCACGGCUAACUACGUG
rnacentral:rRNA from 1 species